rnacentral:miRNA from 10 species
CAAUAAAUCACAGUUUUCUCCGA